rnacentral:rRNA from 1 species
CAACGGAUCUCUUGGUUCUGGCAUCGAUGAAGAACGCAGCGAAAUGCGAUAAGUAAUGUGAAUUGCAGAAUUCAGUGAAUCAUCGAAUCUUUGAACGCACAUUGCGCCCGUCAGUAUUCUGGCGGGCAUGCCUGUUCGAGCGUCAUUACGCCCCUCAAGUCCCCUGUGG